rnacentral:rRNA from 1 species
ACACAUGCAAGUCGAGCGGUAGAGAGAAGCUUGCUUCUCUUGAGAGCGGCGGACGGGUGAGUAAUGCCUAGGAAUCUGCCUGGUAGUGGGGGAUAACGUUCGGAAACGGACGCUAAUACCGCAUACGUCCUACGGGAGAAAGCAGGGGACCUUCGGGCCUUGCGCUAUCAGAUGAGCCUAGGUCGGAUUAGCUAGUUGGUGGGGUAAUGGCUCACCAAGGCGACGAUCCGUAACUGGUCUGAGAGGAUGAUCAGUCACACUGGAACUGAGACACGGUCCAGACUCCUACGGGAGGCAGCAGUGGGGAAUAUUGGACAAUGGGCGAAAGCCUGAUCCAGCCAUGCCGCGUGUGUGAAGAAGGUCUUCGGAUUGUAAAGCACUUUAAGUUGGGAGGAAGGGCCGUUACCUAAUACGUGAUGGUUUUGACGUUACCGACAGAAUAAGCACCGGCUAACUCUGUGCCAGCAGCCGCGGUAAUACAGAGGGUGCAAGCGUUAAUCGGAAUUACUGGGCGUAAAGCGCGCGUAGGUGGUUUGUUAAGUUGGAUGUGAAAUCCCCGGGCUCAACCUGGGAACUGCAUUCAAAACUGACUGACUAGAGUAUGGUAGAGGGUGGUGGAAUUUCCUGUGUAGCGGUGAAAUGCGUAGAUAUAGGAAGGAACACCAGUGGCGAAGGCGACC